UUUACUCCGGCAGUUCGGGUGUUUCAUCCGUAUGCUGAUCGACAAGACAGCUGCUACGACUGAAGCUGGUCCUAGGCCUAAGACUGCUUUGAGGUAUGAUGAAAGCAUCAAGAGAACAAGGUCAGCAGGAGUGGAUGUUUCCAGCCUAUGCUGGGACUGGGAGCACACAACAAUGUAGCAAUAACAACACAGGGCAGUGACAUGCACUUCACCAGUAGCACAGUACUAUACUACUAGUCAGCCAGAUUGAAGUCAGGGGUGAUGAAGACGAUGCUGCCUUUGGUGUGCUGGAACUGCGGUGAGGAGGAAACGCUGCCCAUACUGGCAGAGAAGACUCAGCUGCAUACCAGACAAUAAACCCUGUUUGUCAGGCCUGCAAAAAUGUGACAGGACGACAACUGCCGUUCCACCUG